GGGAGGUGCCCAGGGCU
rnacentral:misc_RNA from 1 species